AGCAGUCACAUUAGAUUCUCAUAGAAGUGUGAAUCCUACUGUGAACUGUGCAUGGGAGGGAUCUAGGUUGUGCACUCCUUAUGAGAAUCUAAUGCCCGAUAAUCUGUCACCCUCUCCCAUUAUCCCCAGAUGAGACCAUCUAGUUGCAAAAAAACAAGCUCAGGACUCCCACCCAUUCAACAUUAUGGAUGUAGAGAGAAAGAAGAGACUUUGGAGAUGCUUCAGAAUUCUGUGAGCCUGUAAGAUAAGAGACUAUGGAGGAGAAGUUGGUGAGGGGAAGCUUAUGUCAGCUUGGUUUGCCUGUCCAUAAACUUAGAUGACUGGCCACUCAUGGGGAUGACUGAAGGCUGUGGCUGGAGAGCAGUCCCGAGGCGAGAUUUAGAGCAAGUGAAAAGCUCAAGUACAAAGCCUACCCCCAGCCAUGUGAAGAAGAAAUGUGCUUCCCCUUCGCCUUCUGCCAUGAUUGUAAGUUUCCUGAGGCCUCCACAGCCUUGCUUCCUGUACAGCCUGCAGAAUGUGAGUCAAUUAAACCUCUUUUCUUCCUAAAUUACCC
rnacentral:lncRNA from 13 species